GAAGCUAUACAUGCAAAGACGAAACUACAAGUAGCGUUAUGCUAUUUGGUGACUGGGAUGAGCUACCGUUAUUUGCAGGCUUUUUACAGAGUGUCUCGGGCUGCAAUAUCAUCGUUCAUACCGGAAGUCAUGGAUGCAAUAUUUACUUAUUUGGAGAAUUAUUUAAAGGUACCGCAGACCAAUGAAGAAUGGAAAGAAAUAGAAACAGGUUUCAGAACUAGGUGGAAUUUCCCUGGUUGCCAUGGCGCUAUAGACGGGAAGCAUGUGAUAAUUCUAGCACCACCGAAUUGUGGAAGUGAAUAUUUUAAUUACAAGGGUACCAACAGUGUGGUUUUGAUGGCUGUGGUUGAUCAUGACUAUUGUUUUCGCUAUGUAAAUAUUGGAGCAAACGGAAGAAACUCGGAUGGGGGGAUUUUUAAAAACAGCCAAUUACGUAGUGAUCUUGAGAAUAAUUUGCUACCGAAAGGAGGAUUUUUGGUUGGAGAUGAUGCGUUUCCACUAAAAACAUAUUUAUUAAAACCAUAUAGUGGCACAAAUCUUUCAACAAAACAAAAACUAUUUAACUACAGACUCUCUAGAGCACGAAGAAUUGUCGAAAAUGCGUUUGGCAUUCUGGCAAGCAGGUUUCGAAUUUUUCAAAAGCCCAUACCAACUAGUGACGUAACCACCGAUAAAAUUAUUCUCGCCUCUUGUGCUCUGCAUAAUUGGUUACGUCUCACAAGUCCCGGUAUUUACUUUCCAAAGGGUUGUGUUGAUCAAGAAGAUAUAGAUUCGGGAUCCGUUAUUGUGGGGACUUGGAGACAAGAACUACAAGCUAAUUUGCCAAGUAUCACUAAUCAUAACACCAACAAUGCAGCACGUAUAGCAAGGGAGCUUCGAGAUAAAUACGCAGAGUUCUUCAGUGGGGCAGGUGCCGUUUCGUGGCAAAACAGAAUGAUUUCAUAAUUUUAAGCAAUUUAAUUUCAGAAAUACCUACAUUAUACUUAGCAUAAAAAGUAACAUAAUAAAAAGCACUUACGUUUUGCAUAAA